rnacentral:rRNA from 1 species
AACGAACGCUGGCGGCAUGCCUUACACAUGCAAGUCGAACGGUAACAGGUCUUCGGAUGCUGACGAGUGGCGAACGGGUGAGUAAUACAUCGGAACGUGCCUAGUAGUGGGGGAUAACUACUCGAAAGAGUGGCUAAUACCGCAUGAGAUCUACGGAUGAAAGCAGGGGAUCGCAAGACCUUGUGCUACUAGAGCGGCCGAUGGCAGAGUAGGUAGUUGGUGGGAUAAAAGCUUACCAAGCCGACGAUCUGUAGCUGGUCUGAGAGGACGAUCAGCCACACUGGGACUGAGACACGGCCCAGACUCCUACGGGAGGCAGCAGUGGGGAAUUUUGGACAAUGGGCGCAAGCCUGAUCCAGCAAUGCCGCGUGCAGGAUGAAGGCCUUCGGGUUAUAAACUGCUUUUGUACGGAACGAAAAGCCCUGGGUUAAUACCCUGGGGUCAUGACGGUACCGUAAGAAUAAGCACCGGCUAACUACGUGCCAGCCGCCGCGGUAACAC